GCCUGGGUGGCUCAGUCGGUUGAGCGUCCGACUUCCGCUCAGGUCAUGAUCUUGCGGUCAGUGGGUUCGAGCCCCGCGUCGGGCU
rnacentral:tRNA from 1 species